AUUGAACGCUGGCGGCAUGCCUUACACAUGCAAGUCGAACGGCAGCACGGGAGCAAUCCUGGUGGCGAGUGGCGAACGGGUGAGUAAUAUAUCGGAACGUGCCCAGUCGUGGGGAUAACGUAGCGAAAGCUACGCUAAUACCGCAUACGAUCUACGGAUGAAAGCGGGAGAUCGCAAGACCUCGCGCGAUUGGAGCGGCCGAUAUCAGAUUAGGUAGUUGGUGAGGUAAAGGCUCACCAAGCCGACGAUCUGUAGCUGGUCUGAGAGGACGACCAGCCACACUGGGACUGAGACACGGCCCAGACUCCUACGGGAGGCAGCAGUGGGGAUAUUGGACAAUGGACGAAAGCCUGAUCCAGCAAUGCCGCGUGAGUGAUGAAGGCCUUAGGGUUGUAAACUGCUUUUGUACGGAACGAAACGGUCGAGCUCUAAUACAGUUUGCUAAUGAC
rnacentral:rRNA from 1 species